rnacentral:lncRNA from 1 species
AUGCAAAACAAGUUAAGCAAGCAUACCACAGUCUACUUCAGUGAACAAACUAACUCCCACCUAUCUCAGCUGGGAAUGCGGCGCGAGCUUUAUUCCGUGAAACACGACCCCAGAGAGCCUCAAGUCCCGGGACAAACUCGUCCCACACAGCAGCUGAGCAUUUAUUGUGGAGGAUAUUUUGGAGGGGAUCGUGCCUUUUCUUUUUUGCUGCCUUCCCUGCCCCGGCCCCGAGGGGGGAGGCGGCCCCGGCUGUGGCGGGCGGCGGUGCUGCCGCCUUGUGGGCAGAAAGAGGUACUGCAGCCCCCCACCAAGGGCCUCACGUGGCCGCCAUCUUGGGAGUGGCUUGUCACGGACUCGCUUGACCUUUCCAACAUGACGGCAAAAAAAAAAAAAAAAAAAGAGCGGGAAAAUCGAGGCGCUUGCUCUGCGUGUUGCCCUGCCGGCACGCCACACAAACGCCGGCACCGCCCCGCCGCGAUUUCCUGCGGCCAUUCCAGUACUUCACGCAUGGGCUGUUGCUUCAGUCGCGCCGCGGGUCUGCGGGUUUCAGGCGGGCGCCGACAGGCAUCGGCAGAUUCGCCUCUCUGUGCCCAGGUCCUGCAGUGGCCGCCAUCCUGGGCAUGCCCUGUGCCUCUGCCGUGCCGCGCGGGGCGCCCGUCCCGUCCCCUCUCAUCCCCUCCCGCCCUGUCCCACGGCCUCCCUGCCAUACAGGUCCGUGCUGAAGAGUGGGAGACAGGUCCCCACUGGUUGCCGUGUCCUUGGUGGGCAGAGAACUCUGACCUCGGCCAGAUGGGCUGUUUCUGUUUCUGGGUGUUUUGA